rnacentral:rRNA from 1 species
GCAGUGGGGAAUAUUGCUCAAUGGGCGCAAGCCUGAAGCAGCGACGCCGCGUGAGGGAUGAAGGCCUUCGGGUUGUAAACCUCUUUCAGCUCCGAAGAAGCGAAAGUGACGGUAGGAGCAAAAGAAGCACCGGCUAACUACGUGCCAGCAGCCGCGGUAAUACGUAGGGUGCAAGCGUUGUCCGGAUUUAUUGGGCGUAAAGAGCUCGUAGGCGGUCUGUCGCGUCUGCUGUGAAAACUCGGGGCUUAACCCCGGGCCUGCAGUGGGUACGGGCAGACUAGAGUGCGGUAGGGGAGACUGGAAUUCCUGGUGUAGCGGUGAAAUGCGCAGAUAUCAGGAGGAACACCGGUGGCGAAGGCGGGUCUCUGGGCCGUAACUGACGCUGAGGAGCGAAAKCAUGGGUAGCGAACAGGAUUAGAUACCCUGGUAGUCCAUGCCGUAAACGUUGGGCGCUAGGUGUGGGGCUCAUUCCACGAGUUCCGUGCCGCAGCAAACGCAUUAAGCGCCCCGCCUGGGGAGUACGGCCGCAAGGCUAAAACUCAAAGGAAUUGACGGGGCCCCGCACAAGCGGCGGAGCAUGCGGAUUAAUUCGAUGCAACGCGAAGAACCUUACCAAGGCUUGACAUGCAGGGAAAUCUCACAGAGAUGUGAGGUCCGCAAGGGUCCUGCGCAGGUGGUGCAUGGUUGUCGCCAGCUCGUGUCGUGAGAUGUUGGGUUAAGUCCCGCAACGAGCGCAACCCUCGUUCUAUGUUGCCAGCGGAUAAUGCCGGGGACUCAUAGGAGACUGCCGGGGUCAACUCGGAGGAAGGUGGGGAUGACGUCAAAUCAUCAUGCCCCUUAUGUCUUGGGCUUCACGCAUGCUACAAUGGCCAGUACAAAGGGCUGCGAGACCGUAAGGUGGAGCGAAUCCCAAAAAGCUGGUCUCAGUUCGGAUUGGGGUCUGCAACUCGACCCCAUGAAGUCGGAGUCGCUAGUAAUCGCAGAUCAGCAACGCUGCGGUGAAUACGUUCCCGGGGC